AGUGAACGCUGGCGGUAGGCCUAACACAUGCAAGUCGAACGGCAGCACAGGAGAGCUUGCUCUCUGGGUGGCGAGUGGCGGACGGGUGAGGAAUACAUCGGAAUCUACUCUGUCGUGGGGGAUAACGUAGGGAAACUUACGCUAAUACCGCAUACGACCUACGGGUGAAAGCAGGGGACCUUCGGGCCUUGCGCGAUUGAAUGAGCCGAUGUCGGAUUAGCUAGUUGGCGGGGUAAAGGCCCACCAAGGCGACGAUCCGUCGCUGGUCUGAGAGGAUGAUCAGCCACACUGGAACUGAGACACGGUCCAGACUCCUACGGGAGGCAGCAGUGGGGAAUAUUGGACAAUGGGCGCAAGCCUGAUCCAGCCAUACCGCGUGGGUGAAGAAGGCCUUCGGGUUGUAAAGCCCUUUUGUUGGGAAAGAAAUCCAGCUGGCUAAUACCCGGUUGGGAUGACGGUACUCAAAGAAUAAGCACCGGCUAACUUCGUGCCAGCAGCCGCGGUAA
rnacentral:rRNA from 1 species